rnacentral:rRNA from 1 species
UACGGAGGGUGCAAGCGUUAUCCGGAUUCACUGGGUUUAAAGGGUGCGUAGGUGGGCAGGUAAGUCAGUGGUGAAAUCUCCGGGCUUAACCCGGAAACUGCCGUUGAUACUAUUUGUCUUGAAUAUUGUGGAGGUAAGCGGAAUAUGUCAUGUAGCGGUGAAAUGCUUAGAUAUGACAUAGAACACCAAUUGCGAAGGCAGCUUACUACACAACGAUUGACGCUGAGGCACGAAAGCGUGGGGAUCAAACA